rnacentral:misc_RNA from 1 species
AUGAUUUAUUGACAGGUUUGUCGCUGGCCUUUAUGCCCGGCAAUGUGCCACGCCUUUGCUUCAAUUCAUCCAAUCUACACCUCUGUGCACUCUUCAUAGGUUGGCUUUCUGGAUUACUCAUGGCCUUUCUAUGCAUUUUAUCACAAACCUUGUAAUAGUCCAGAAUGUCUUUAUCGCAAUGUAAACGCAUAUAAAUAU